rnacentral:misc_RNA from 1 species
GAUGAAGAACGCAUCGAAAUGCGAUAAGUAAUGUGAAUUGCAGAAUUCAGUGAAUCAUCGAAUCUUUGAACGCAUCUUGCGCUCCUUGGUAUUCUGAGGAGCAUGCCUGUUUGAGUGUCAUUAAAUUCUCAACUACACUGACUUUGAAUUGGUGUGGCUUGGAUUUGGGGGGAAAAUUGUUGUGGGCUUUUUGUAUAGUCUGCUCCCCUGAAAUUGAUUAGCGGUACCUUUGUGGAACUGUCUACAGGUGUGAUAAUUAUCUACAUCUAGACAUCUGCUGGAAUGCUGCUUUCUAAACCUUACUUGUAUUGACAAUCUUGACCUCAAAUCAGGUAGGACUACCCGCUGAACUUAAGCAUAUCAAUAAGCGGAGGA